GCGGNAUUACACGAGGGUGCGAGCGUUAAUCGGAUUUACUGGGCGUAAAGCGUGCGUAGGCGGCCAAUUAAGUCAAAUGUGAAAUCCCCGAGCUUAACUUGGGAAUUGCAUUCGAUACUGGUUGGCUAGAGUAUGGGAGAGGAUGGUAGAAUUCCAGGUGUAGCGGUGAAAUGCGUANAGAUCUGGAGGAAUACCGAUGGCGAAGGCAGCCAUCUGGCCUAAUACUGACGCUGAGGUACGAAAGCAUGGGGAGCAAACAGGAUUAGAUACCCUGGUAGUCCAUGCCGUAAACGAUGUCUACUAGCCGUUGGGGCCCUUGAGGCUUUAGUGGCGCAGCUAACGCGAUAAGUAGACCGCCUGGGGAGUACGGUCGCAAGACUAAAACUCAAAUGAAAUUGACGGGGGCCCGCACAAGCGGUGGAGCAUGUGGUUUAAUUCGAUGCAACGCGAAGAACCUUACCUGGCCUUGACAUACAGAGAACUUUCCAGAGAUGGAUUGGUGCCUUCGGGAAACUCUGAUACAGGUGCUGCAUGGCUGUCGUCAGCUCGNGUCCUGANAUGUUGGGUUAAUCCCGCCAACNAGCGCAACCCUUUUCCUUAUUUGCCAGCCCUUCGGGUGGGACUUUUAGGAAUACNUGCCGUGACAACUGGAGGAAGGCGGGGACC
rnacentral:rRNA from 1 species